rnacentral:lncRNA from 1 species
UAAGAAGGUGAGCUAUUCUAACAAAUAUGGAAUAUUGUAAACCAGAUGCAAUGCUAAAUAGCCUCAAAUAGUAGAUGAUUGUGCUUCAAACUUAAAGUUCAAUCUCUCUCAGUCUCCAAUUGUAUUCACAAAAAUCCUCUUCUAACAGCUCCUCGCGGUUUAUAAGCUACCAUGGUCACGGCCAAUUAGGGAAUACUAUCAUCUGGUGGCCUUGGCACCUCCCUUUCAAUCCAAAUCAGCUACAGCUAAAUGAAACCAAAAGCAAAGCUUGAAAGCUCAAUUCCUAGGAACCUUUUCUGUUAGUCAAAAGUAAAUACAAUUUUUUGAAAAG